UUGGAGGGCAAGUCUGGUGCCAGCAGCCGCGGUAAUUCCAGCUCCAAUAGCGUAUAUUAAAGUUGUUGCAGUUAAAAAGCUCGUAGUUGAAUUUCGGGGUCAGUAGGUUGGUCAUGCCACUGGUAUGUACUGAUCUUACUGAUUCCUCCUUCCUGAUGAACCGUAAUGCCAUUAAUUUGGUGUUGCGGGGAGACUGGACUGUUACUUUGAGAAAAUUAGAGUGUUUAAAGCAGGCUAACGCUUGAAUACAUUAGCAUGGAAUAAUGAAAUAGGACGUUCGAUCCUAUUUUGUUGGUUUCUAGGAUAGACGUAAUGAUUAAUAGGGAUAGUUGGGGGCAUUAGUAUUCAAUUGUCAGAGGUGAAAUUCUUGGAUUUAUUGAAGACUAACUACUGCGAAAGCAUUUGCCAAGGAUGUUUUCAUUAAUCAAGAACGAAAGUUAGGGGAUCGAAGACGAUCAGAUACCGUCGUAGUCUUAACCAUAAACUAUGCCGACUAGGGAUCGGAUGAUGUUAAUUUUUUAAUGACUCAUUCGGCGCCUUACGGGAAAC
rnacentral:rRNA from 1 species